AUUGCACGCUGGCGGCAGGCCUAACACAUGCAAGUCGAGCGAGCGGCGGACGGGUGAGUAAUGUAUGGGGACUGCCCGAUAGAGGGGGAUAACUACUGGAAACGGUGGCUAAUACCGAAUACUAUCGGAUAACCCAUAUGGGAUGAGCUAGUAGGUGGGGUAAAGGCUCACCGAGGCGACGAUACCUAGCUGGUCUGAGAGGAUGAUGCGCCACACUGAGACGAAGACCCGGCCCAGCCUCCUACGGAGGCAGCAGUGGGGAAUAUUGCACAAUGGGAGAAAGCCUGAUGCAGCCAUGCGUCGUGUAUGAAGAGGGCCUUAGGGUUGUAAAGUACGUUCAGCGGGGAGGCGUUACCCGCAGAAGAAGCACCGGCUAACUCCGUGCCAGAAGCCGCGGUAAUUC
rnacentral:rRNA from 1 species